rnacentral:lncRNA from 1 species
CUCUAACACGUACUCUCCUUACUGUUUUGUUGCUUGAGAGCUUAGUGUUUGCUGGCUGGCGACCAAGUUCAUACCUUCAAAAUAAAGUGAGCAAAUAAGCAUGAAGCAUAGAACUGAACUGAGAAAUUACAACAAAUCCGCAGCCCCAGCAUUCACACAUGCACAAGGUCCAGUUAAAAUAGGUUCAUCAUCUUAACAACCCAAUGGAAGUGAGCCUAAUAAAAAUUCCAAAGGCAAUAUAACCAAACCACAUGUUCACCCUCAUUAAUAAUCUUCUCUCUAUUCACCCUUGUUUCUCUUUUUGUUUCUUGCAACUGAUUAAUACAAAAUUUUUGGGUGGGCUUAUCUAAGAGAGCAAAUUCAACACAAUCCAUUCAAAAUAACUCAAGCCAUUUUCCAGAAUCAAUCUUUUUAGUAAAAUAUUCAACAGAGAGCUCUACAUUUUGAAAAUGUUGACUAUUCCUGACCAGAUACUGACAACUCUAACCUUCCAGUUCACAGUCAUAAUACGCUGACAAAAACUCACAAUGAUGGAGUAAACAUUGAGUAAAGCAAGAAGAUUGAAUAGCAGAUGACUUGGGAAAAGGGAACUAAACUGAGAAAGAAAAAAACAAGAGAACUAUUGGAAACAUACAUACACAAACACACAUUAUUUAAAGCUUGCAAGCUUGAGAUUCGAAAAGCUUAGGUGUUAUUUGGAUACACUUUUUUGCUUUCCGUUUUUGAAAACAAAAAAUGA